GUUUGAUCCUGGCUCAGGAUGAACGCUAGCGGCAGGCCUAAUACAUGCAAGUCGAGGGGUAAGGUUCACUUCGGUGAACACACGACCGGCGCACGGGUGCGUAACGCGUAUGCAACCUACCAUUAACUGGGGAAUAGCCCCGAGAAAUCGGGAUUAAUGCCCCAUAAUAACAUUUUAGGACAUCCUUUUAUGUUUAAAGCUCCGGCGGUUAAUGAUGGGCAUGCGUGACAUUAGUUUGUUGGUGAGGUAACGGCUCACCAAGACUACGAUGUCUAGGGGUUCUGAGAGGAAGAUCCCCCACACUGGUACUGGGACACGGACCAGACUCCUACGGGAGGCAGCAGUGGGGAAUAUUGCACAAUGGACGAAAGUCUGAUGCAGCAACGCCGCGUGGAGGAUGACACAUUUCGGUGCGUAAACUCCUUUUAUGUGAGAAGAUAAUGACGGUAUCACAUGAAUAAGCACCGGCUAACUCCGUGCCAGCAGCCGCGGUAAUACGGAGGGUGCAAGCGUUACUCGGAAUCACUGGGCGUAAAGCGCGCGCAGGCGGCUUUGUAAGUUGGAUGUGAAAUCCUAUGGCUCAACCAUAGAACUGCAUCCAAAACUACUUAGCUAGAGUCUGGGAGGGGAAGAUGGAAUUAGUGGUGUAGGGGUAAAAUCCGUAGAGAUCACUAGGAAUACCAAAAGCGAAGGCGAUCUUCUGGAACAGUACUGACGCUGAGGCGCGAAAGCGUGGGGAGCAAACAGGAUUAGAUACCCUGGUAGUCCACGCCCUAAACGAUGAAUGUUAGUCGUCGGGAGGCUCGUCCUUUCGGUGAUGCAGCUAACGCAUUAAACAUUCCGCCUGGGGAGUACGGUCGCAAGAUUAAAACUCAAAGGAAUAGACGGGGACCCGCACAAGUGGUGGAGCAUGUGGUUUAAUUCGAAGAUACGCGAAGAACCUUACCUGGCCUUGACAUUGAUAGAACACUCUAGAGAUUGAGUGGUGCCCUUCGGGGAGCUUGAAAACAGGUGCUGCACGGCUGUCGUCAGCUCGUGUCGUGAGAUGUUGGGUUAAGUCCCGCAACGAGCGCAACCCUCGUCACUAGUUACUAACGGUUCGGCCGAGGACUCUAGUGAGACUGCCUUCGUAAGGAGGAGGAAGGUGAGGACGACGUCAAGUCAUCAUGGCCCUUACGGCCAGGGCGACACACGUGCUACAAUGGGUAGGACAAUGAGACGCAAUACCGCGAGGUGGAGCAAAUCUAUAAACCUACUCUCAGUUCGGAUUGUAGUCUGCAACUCGACUACAUGAAGCUGGAAUCACUAGUAAUCGUAGAUCAGCCAUGCUACGGUGAAUACGUUCCCGGGUCUUGUACUCACCGCCCGUCACACCAUGGGAG
rnacentral:rRNA from 1 species